GGGCCGGUCGUCUAGUUGGUUAGGAUCUCCGCCUGACACGCGGAAGGUCGCCGGUUCGAGUCCGGCCCGGCCCACCA
rnacentral:tRNA from 1 species